GAGAGAGUUCAAGAGUACGUGAAACCGUUCAGGGGUAAGCGGAAAAGACCCGAAAGUUCGAACGGGGAGAUUCACGCUCUCACGUCCCGCAAGCACUGCCGCCUGCCGGACUAACCACACGUUCGGACCGACCGCGCUUCGGUGCGGGCGGCGAGAACUGACUGUUGGCUUGGCCUACGGCGGUAAGAGGCGGCGGUGGGCCGCAUUUCUCCCUCAGUAGGACGUCGCGACCCGUUGGGUUUGCGGCCUACGGCCCCGGACGGAGACCGGCGGUCGCACGGACUUCGGUCCAUCAGUGCGUUGCCGUCCGGACCCCGGGUGUCCCGGCCGAACGCCCGACGGUAUAUCAUGCAGGUGUUGAGCCGCCGAAAGGCGCCCUUGGCCGGUCGCAAGCGUGAUCGAGUUUCGGCGAUCUCGGACCCAUGGUCCGACUCCCGUACCGAUCCGCUGUUGGCGCGCCGUGUCCUCGGGCCGGUGCAGAACACCGGACUGCGACGCUUCAGCUUUGGGUACUUAUCCGACCCGUCUUGAAACACGGACCAAGGAGUCUAACAUGUGCGCGAGUCAUUGGGUGAAAAACCUAAAGGCGAAAUGAAAUUGAAAGCUGUAGCUUUUUUCAACCUAGGGAGGAUGAGCGUGUCUUGCCCAAUAGGCGGCGCUCCGCACUCCCGGGGCGUCUCAUUCUCAUUGCGAGACGAGGCGCACCCAGAGCGUACACGUUGGGACCCGAAAGAUGGUGAACUAUGCCUGGCCAGGACGAAGUCAGGGGAAACCCUGAUGGAGGUCCGUAGCGAUUCUGACGUGCAAAUCGAUCGUCGGAGCUGGGUAUAGGGGCGAAAGACUAAUCGAACCAUCUAGUAGCUGGUUCCCUCCGAAGUUUCCCUCAGGAUAGCUGGUGCUCAGGGAACAAGAAUCUCAUGCGGUAAAGCGAAUGAUUAGAGGCCUUGGGGCCGAAACGACCUCAACCUAUUCUCAAACUUUAAAUGGGUGAGAUCUCCGGCAUUCUUGGACAUUUGUAAAUGAUGCCGGAGUCUCGGAUCCAGAGUACCAAGUGGGCCAAUUUUGGUAAGCAGAACUGGCGCUGUGGGAUGAACCAAACGCAGAGUUAAGGCGCCUAAACGACGCUCAUGGGAAACCAUGAAAGGCGUUGGUUGCUUAAGACAGCAGGACGGUGGCCAUGGAAGUCGGAAUCCGCUAAGGAGUGUGUAACAACUCACCUGCCGAAGCAACUAGCCCUGAAAAUGGAUGGCGCUGUAGCGUCGUGCCUAUACUCUGCCGUCAACGGCACAGGGGGCGGCACACUAGCGUGUGUCGGGCCGUUAUGCCUUGACGAGUAGGAGGGUCGCGGCGAUGUGCGCAGAAGGGUCUGGGCGUGAGCCUGCCUGGAGCCAUCGUCGGCGC
rnacentral:rRNA from 1 species